AACGAACGCUGGCGGCAGGCUUAACACAUGCAAGUCGAACGCACCUUUCGGGGUGAGUGGCCGACGGGUGAGUAACGCGUGGGAAUCUACCCUUCUCUACGGGAUAGCUCCGGGAAACUGGAAUUAAUACCGUAUACGUCCUGAGGGCGAAAGAUUUAUCGGGGAAGGAUGAGCCCGCGUUGGAUUAGCUAGUUGGUGGGGUAAAGGCCUACCAAGGCGACGAUCCAUAGCUGGUCUAAGAGGAUGAUCAGCCACAUUGGGACUGAGACACGGCCCAAACUCCUACGGGAGGCAGCAGUGGGGAAUAUUGGACAAUGGGCGCAAGCCUGAUCCAGCCAUGCCGCGUGAGUGAUGAAGGCCCUAGGGUUGUAAAGCUCUUUCAGGGGGGACGAUAAUGACGGUACCCACAGAAGAAGCCCCGGCUAACUUCGUG
rnacentral:rRNA from 1 species